CUCUACAGGUUGUUUCUCUUGGAGUCUUUUUGGUGAGCCCAGGACAUGGGUUGGUGCUUGAGACGCUCAAGGAAUUGCAGGUGUGAACAGGAAUAUACUCUUGCUUUAAUUAAUCAGCUCGUCUGCACAACUGAAGAGCUGAACUUGGAACUUCUGAAAGCGCCAAUGAGGAACUGCAUAUUGAAUCACACUCCUCCUGGUGAGACACACUGGCGCUCUGAGGACAGCCCAAUUGAAGAGGGCAGCGCAUAACAAGCUGUGGAUACAGAUGUCCAUCCCACAGAUGUGGCAGCAGAAUGCAGUCACACUAACACAGGUUAACCAACAUCUGCUUCACCUUUAAAGCACCUCCAAACCUGUCCAGUGGCUAAAUCGUUCCAUCCUCUUCUUGGGAUGGAGAUAUUCAGAAUAUGCCUGUGCCUACAGAAUGAGGUUCCUUAUCUUUAUAGGGAACAGAAUUAGGAAAGAGUGGAAAGGAUAAAGAAUUCAUCACAGGAAAAUUAUCUGCUGCCGAGAAAGGUUUUUCUCAUGGAAAUCAGUCACCACCCAUCAGCGUGGCAGCACAGGCUCUUCGGGCCUGAAAACCACUAAGUGAGAGAACUGGUGUGUUUAAAAAGUGCUGGGGCAUUUCAGCAAUACAGGGUAAUGCACUCACAUCAGAACUGUCCUCUGUUGCACAAGCACUGUACAGAAUCUAUGUCAAAACCAGCCUCCACCUUGACAGGUAAAUGGUUUUAAUGCUCAGGGUAUUUGAACAACCCCAUCAUCGGACCUGGGGUCAGACCACAGGUCAUCUCUGCUCCUCCAACACAGAAAGUACCACAGACUGCAAAAGCGAUAAUUGGCUGUACUGGAAGCAGCAUUUAUGCGAAGUAGGGCCAUGGCUUUUAGCUCAUUUCCGCUCCUCCAUGGCUGUAGCAAUUCUGAACUCCAAGUGCUUGGCAAACUUCUCAAACCUUGUUCUCAUACAGAAAUCUCAAUUGGCCCAAAAAACUCACCACAUAUAUAUUAAAAUCCACUUAAUAUUUUCUCUUUGGUAGAAAUUUGCUGGGGAGGAUCAUAUCAUGUAACUCAUCUGUAACUCAACAUAGUAAAGGCAAUCAGUCUAAGAGCCUGAACAGAACUAAACCAAGGCAAGCAUUCAUCUCUUAAAGAAAAACUGGAAGGAAAAUGGAAGGAAAAAAAUGUUAGAUAUAAAAUGCAGAGAAAACUCUCAUUCCCAACUAGACAGCAUAGCCCCAGAAAUGGCAGUCUCACUGGGCAGAGAGGAGAUAUAAACAACUGUGACAUUAGGAUGUUAGGAUGGAGUUCUAAAAGAAGACAGAGUAACGCAGUGGCUCUUACUGAGAAGUAAUAAAUAAAUAAAUAAGAGUUUCUUAGUAUGAACAGGUUCUGUAUUCCAUACCAUAAAGCGCUCACCUUAAUGCUUAGGGUGGGUAGAGAUUUUUCCAGUACACUGCUUAGUUCUGGGCUGGGAGGAUAACGAAUGGGCUUCUGGCAAACAUUUAUACAAACCUUCAGCUGAGAGAAACCCCAGAGUGAGGGCCACACCUGCCUUGUACCUCCUCUAUCUUGGUCAGCAUGGAACAGUUCUUUUUCCCUUGCACACCCUCUCAUGGAUCAUGAAAAAAAUCUUACUGUGAAGGGGGGCUGAGCAGUGGAACAGGCUGCACACGGCCUGUGGGGUCUUCAUCACUAGAGAGACCCAAAAUCUGCCUGGAUUGAGGCUGGGCAACAUGCUUUGGGUUGGAGUAGACAAUGCCCAGAGGUCCCUUCCCAACUCAGCCAUUCUGUCAUUCUGUUAAUUUCUCCGUUUAUGUGCAUUUAUUGAUGACAACAGACUCAGACUUUGUCCUUUGAGGAGAAAGAUCACUGGGGGACCUGUGAUCCCAUUGGAGAUCCAGGAAGGCAGCUGGCCUAGCUCUUGGAAAGAAUGACCACACAGCUACUGGGAAUAACCCUGCUGAAGGAUGGGAGCCCGGAGCAAAGUGAGUUUCUCCAUUUAUGAUUAAGAUCUUUAUGACAAUGAAGAUUAAAGAUAUUCCCCUCUCCAUGAGGGACUCACACCUAGCCUAAAGGAUAGGAUAGGAUAGGAUAGGAUAGGAUAGGAUAGGAUAGGAUAGGAUAGGAUAGGACAGGACAGGACAGGACGGAACGGAAUGGAACGGAACGGAACAGAACAGAACAGAACAGAACAGAAUAGAAUAGAAUAGAGUAGCGUAGCGUAGUGUAGCGUAGAGUAGAGUAGAGUAGAUAGUAGAGUAGAUUAGAGUAGAGAAUAGUUCAAUUGGAAGGAAGCUACAAAGAUUGUGGAGCCCAGCUGCUGAUCACUUCAGAGAUAACCAAAAGUUAAAGCACAUUCAUGAGGGCAUGGUCCAAACGUCUCUUGAACACCGUACACACGGGAAAUCAACCAGCCCUCUAGGAAGCCUAUUCCAGUGUCUGAUCAUACUGAUGGUACAGAAAUGUUUCCCAGUGCCCAGCCUGAUCCUCCCCUGGUGUAGCCAUCUUGCCAUUGGUGACCAGGAGCAGAGCCUGGCAUUUCUCUCUGCUUCCCCUCCUCAGGAAACUGUAGAAGCAGUAGUUUCCCUUAUUUGUACCGUUGUUACUAUUGUUCAUACAUAUGAAAUAAAGACAGUGUAAGAGUC
ensembl:lncRNA